UACGGAGGGUGCAAGCGUUGUUCGGAUUUACUGGGCGUAAAGCGCGCGCAGGUGGGUGAACAAGUCGGAAGUGAAAUCUCGAGGCUCAACCUCGAGGCUGCUCCCGAAACUGUUCGCCUAGGGACUGGUAGAGGCUGGUAGAAUUCCCGGUGUAGCGGUGGAAUGCGUAGAGAUCGGGAAGAAUACCUGUGGCGAAGGCGGCCAGCUGGGCCAGAUCCGACGCUGAGACGCGAAAGCGUGGGGAGCAAACAGG
rnacentral:rRNA from 1 species